rnacentral:lncRNA from 1 species
UGUUUCCCUUAUAUUUUUCCUUAUAUUUAGUUCUAGCUUUACAUGUGGCACCUGUCAUGUUGUUCAUGUAAAAACAAACCUUUUGUUAAGUCUAAUACCCAAUAACGUCGAAUUCAAGAAAAAGAAAAUGGAUUUUUUAAGGCAUCAUUCAAAUAUCUAAUAGAAAUAUUAUUUGACAACAUCAUUAAAGGAAACGACUUGAUCAUUAAAUGUUUUUUUAUCAAGAAAGGUUACCUUUUAUAUGCUGAGCAUGACAAUAGGUCUAAACAGGGCCAAAGAGUUAACAAUGUGAUAUUUAGCAAAUUAAGCCAGGUUAAUCAGAUUUUGUUAUAA